rnacentral:tRNA from 2 species
GCCUAGGUAGUUCAGUGGUAGAACGCUUCCAUGGUAAGGAAGAAGUCGUGAGUUCAACUCUCACCCUGGGCUCCA